GAUGAACGCUGGCGGCGUGCCUAAUACAUGCAAGUCGAGCGGUAACACUUCAGGUGACGAGCGGCGAACGGCUGAGUAACGCGUGAGAAUCUACCCCAAAGUGAGGGAUAAGCAUCGGAAACGGUGUCUAAUACCGCAUGUGGUCUUCGGAUUAAAGUUUUAUACGCUUUGGGAGGAGCUCGCGUACGAUUAGAUAGUUGGUGAGGUAAUGGCUCACCAAGUCGACGAUCGUUAGCUGGUCUGAGAGGAUGAUCAGCCAGACUGGAACUGAGACACGGUCCAGACUCCUACGGGAGGCAGCAGUAAGGAAUCUUCCACAAUGGGCGAAAGCCUGAUGGAGCAACGCCGCGUGCAGGACGAAGGCUUUCGGGUCGUAAACUGCUUUUGUUAGCGAAGAAUUUGACGGUAACUAACGAAUAAGGAUCGGCUAACUCCGUGCCAGCCGCCGCGGUAA
rnacentral:rRNA from 1 species